rnacentral:rRNA from 1 species
AUUGAACGCUGGCGGCAGGCCUAACACAUGCAAGUCGAGCGAGCGGCGGACGGGUGAGUAAUGUCUGGGAAACUGCCUGAUGGAGGGGGAUAACUACUGGAAACGGUAGCUAAUACCGCAUACCCUCAGAUGUGCCACGAUGGGAUUAGCUAGUAGGUGGGGUAACGGCUCACCUAGGCGACGAACCCUAGCUGGUCUGAGAGGAUGACCAGCCAUACUGGAACGGGGACACGGUCCAGACGCCGACGCGAGGCAGCAGUGGGGAAGAUGGCACAAUGGGGGCAAGCCGGAUGCAGCCAUGCCGCGGGUGUGAAGAAGGCCUUCGGGUUGUAAAGCACUUUCAGCGGGGAGGCGUUACCCGCAGAAGAAGCACCGGCUAACUCCGUGCCAGCAGCCGCGGUAAUUC